UACGUAGGGGGCAAGCGUUGUCCGGAAUCAUUGGGCGUAAAGAGCGUGUAGGCGGCCCGAUAAGUCCGCUGUGAAAGUCAAGGGCUCAACCCUUGAAAGCCGGUUGAUACUGUCGGGCUAGAGUCCGGAAGAGGCGAGUGGAAUUCCCGGUGUAGCGGUGAAAUGCGCAGAUAUCGGGAGGAACACCAAUGGCGAAAGCAGGUACCUGGACUAUUACUGACGCUAAGCUGCGAAAGCUAGGGGAGCAAACAGG
rnacentral:rRNA from 1 species